UACGUAGGGUGCGAGCGUUGUCCGGAAUUAUUGGGCGUAAAGAGCUCGUAGGCGGUGUGUCACGUCGGCCGUGAAAACCUGGGGCUCAACUCUGGGCGUGCGGUCGAUACGGGCAUCACUAGAGUUCGGCAGGGGAGACUGGAAUUCCUGGUGUAGCGGUGAAAUGCGCAGAUAUCAGGAGGAACACCGGUGGCGAAGGCGGGUCUCUGGGCCGAUACUGACGCUGAGGAGCGAAAGCAUGGGGAGCAAACAGG
rnacentral:rRNA from 1 species